GCCCAGGUGGUGAAAUUGGUAGACACGCCAGAUUUAGGAUCUGGUGCCGCGAGGUGUGGAGGUUCGAGUCCUCUCCUGGGCA
rnacentral:tRNA from 1 species